rnacentral:rRNA from 1 species
UAGGGAAUCUUCCACAAUGGGCGCAAGCCUGAAGGAGCAACACCGCGUGAGUGAAGAAGGGUUUCGGCUCGUAAAGCUCUGUUGUUAAAGAAGAACACGUAUGAGAGUAACUGUUCAUACGUUGACGGUAUUUAACCAGAAAGUCACGGCUAACUACGUGCCAG